rnacentral:lncRNA from 10 species
CAAAAUUUCAGUUAGAUAUGAGGAAUAAGAUCAAGAGACCUAUUAUAAAACAGGGUGACCAUAGUUAAUACAAGGAACACUGGAACCUUGAAAAAGUAACCUCGCUUCCUUGGUGAAAGACCCCAACAGAACUUAGAAUGCUAGUAACCAGGCACCCACAUUCUACUAAAAGCCCUAUAGGCAGCUUACUUGACAGCAAAUGCUCAAGAGAGCAAAAUGUCCUCCUGCUGGAUCCUGACUUUCCAAGGCUCUCACUUCAGGUCUUCCUGAGGGAUGCCAAGGAUGCCAACAUGGGCUUAUUUCUCACCUCAGAUGCCUCUGGCCAAUUGGCAAGGGGCACCCACAGAGAGCUCCAAUCCUGUUUCAGCUGCCAACUCAAAUGCUGCUUUCUACAUGAUAUACCUCCUGCAAUAAAGCUCUAAGAUGGAAGAAAGACUAUGAAAUAAAGAGCAUUUUUUAGUAUUCUAGAAAAUACUGAGGUCUGAAUAGCAUCCUG